rnacentral:misc_RNA from 1 species
UGGAGAAAUGGAUAUUAUAAUUAUAGCAAUGGAUUUGGGAAGUGGGUGAGAGAUGCAACAAAAUGGAUCCCACAGUUUAGUUCUUGUUCUUCUGCGGGACCAGAGGAACAAUGGUUAGUUGGUGAGCUUCAUAAAACACAAUUCUUUUAAGUUUCCUCUUAAUUGCACUCCGAUAGAACACAACAACACCAAAAUAAUACUACUAAUUAAAGAUGAAGAAGUCUCGCAGCAGUCAUUUGGUGAAUUAUUAGUAGUACCUAGGAAUUGAUUAAUUAAUUAAUUUUUCUUAUAGGAAAGCUAUCUUCUCUGACAUGGAAAAAAG